rnacentral:rRNA from 1 species
GACGAACGCUGGCGGCGUGCCUAAUACAUGCAAGUAGGACGCAGUUGCGAACGUGUGAGUAACGCGUAGGUAACUACCUAUUAGAGGGGGAUAACUAUUGGAAACGAUAGCUAAUACCGCAUACUAGUAGAUGUACCUGCGUUGUAUUAGCUAGUAGGUAGGGUAAUGGCCUCCCUAGGCAAAGAUACAUAGCCGACCUGGGAGGGAGGUCGGCCAAACCGGGACCGGGACACGGCCCAGAAUCCUACGGGAGGCAACAGUAGGGAAUCUUCGGCAAUGGGGGGAAACCUGACCGAGCAACGCCGCGGGAGUGAAGAAAGUUUUCGGAGCGUAAAGCUCUGUUGUGAAGGAAGCGGUACUUAACCAGAAAGGGACGGCUAACUACGUGCCAGCAGCCGCGGUAAUAC